rnacentral:lncRNA from 1 species
AAUUCGUGGAUUUACCACAACCUUGGUUGUGACCCCAUAGAUAAAAAUGCAAAAUUUCUAUCUUCGAGACCAUUGAAAAAGGGCAUUGAACGAGAAAGAAAUCGUCCACAGAUAAUCAAACUAUCGUAUGCCCUGGAAGUAAUAUGAGGUGCUCGGAAAUGGUUGAAGUAAUUGAAUAGGAGGAUCACUAUGACUAUAGCCAUUGGUAGAGUUACUAAAGAAGAAAAUGAUCUAUUUGAUAUUAUGGACGACUGGUUACGAAGGGACCGUUUCGUUUUUGUAGGAUGGUCCGGCCUAUUGCUCUUUCCUUGUGCUUAUUUCGCUUUAGGGGGUUGGUUUACAGGGACUACUUUUGUAACUUCUUGGUAUACCCAUGGAUUGGCUAGUUCCUAUUUGGAAGGUUGCAAUUUCUUAACCGCGGCGGUUUCCACUCCUGCCAAUAGUUUAGCACACUCUUUGUUGCUACUAUGGGGCCCGGAAGCACAGGGGGAUUUUACUCGUUGGUGUCAAUUAGGUGGUCUGUGGACUUUUGUCGCUCUCCAUGGGGCUUUUGCACUAAUAGGUUUCAUGUUACGUCAAUUUGAACUUGCUCGGUCUGUUCAAUUGCGGCCUUAUAAUGCAAUUUCAUUCUCUGGUCCAAUCGCAGUUUUUGUUUCCGUAUUCCUUAUUUAUCCACUGGGACAAUCUGGUUGGUUCUUUGCGCCGAGUUUUGGCGUAGCAGCUAUAUUUCGAUUUAUCCUUUUCUUCCAAGGAUUUCAUAAUUGGACGUUGAACCCAUUUCAUAUGAUGGGAGUUGCCGGAGUAUUAGGCGCAGCUCUGCUAUGCGCUAUCCAUGGGGCUACCGUAGAAAACACUCUAUUCGAAGAUGGUGAUGGUGCAAAUACCUUCCGCGCUUUUAACCCAACUCAAGCUGAAGAAACUUAUUCAAUGGUCACUGCUAACCGCUUUUGGUCCCAAAUCUUUGGUGUUGCUUUUUCCAAUAAACGUUGGUUACAUUUCUUUAUGCUAUUUGUACCCGUCACCGGUUUAUGGAUGAGUGCUAUUGGCGUAGUUGGCCUGGCUCUGAACCUACGUGCCUAUGACUUCGUUUCCCAGGAAAUCCGUGCAGCGGAAGAUCCUGAAUUUGAGACUUUCUACACCAAAAAUAUUCUUUUAAACGAGGGUAUUCGUGCGUGGAUGGCAGCUCAGGAUCAGCCUCAUGAAAAUCUUAUAUUCCCUGAGGAGGUUCUACCACGUGGAAACGCUCUUUAAUGGAACUUUCGUUUUAGCUGGUCGUGACCAAGAAACCACCGGCUUUGCUUGGUGGGCUGGGAAUGCCAGACUUAUCAAUUUGUCCGGUAAACUACUUGGAGCUCAUGUAGCCCAUGCCGGAUUAAUCGUAUUCUGGGCCGGAGCAAUGAACCUAUUUGAAGUGGCCCAUUUCGUACCAGAAAAGCCCAUGUAUGAACAAGGGUUAAUUUUACUUCCGCACUUAGCUACUCUAGGUUGGGGAGUAGGGCCAGGGGGAGAAGUUCUAGAUACUUUUCCUUACUUUGUAUCUGGAGUACUUCACAUAAUUUCCUCCGCAGUCUUAGGCUUCGGUGGCAUUUAUCACGCGCUUCUGGGACCCGAGACUCUUGAAGAAUCUUUUCCAUUCUUUGGUUAUGUAUGGAAAGAUAGAAAUAAAAUGACUACAAUUUUGGGUAUUCACUUAAUUUUGUUAGGUCUAGGUGCUUUUCUUCUAGUACUCAAGGCUCUUUAUUUUGGCGGCGUAUAUGAUACCUGGGCCCCCGGGGGGGGGGAUGUAAGAAAAAUUACCAAUUUGACCCUUAGUCCCGGUGUUAUAUUUGGUUAUUUACUAAAAUCCCCUUUUGGGGGAGAAGGAUGGAUUGUUAGUGUGGAUGAUUUAGAAGAUAUAAUUGGGGGACAUGUAUGGUUGGGUUCCAUUUGUGUACUUGGAGGAAUUUGGCAUAUCUUAACCAAACCCUUUGCAUGGGCUCGCCGUGCCUUUGUAUGGUCUGGCGAAGCUUACUUGUCUUAUAGUUUAGCUGCUUUAUCCGUUUUUGGUUUUAUCGCUUGUUGUUUUGUCUGGUUCAAUAAUACGGCUUAUCCAAGUGAGUUUUACGGACCCACUGGGCCAGAAGCUUCUCAAGCUCAAGCAUUUACUUUUCUAGUUAGAGACCAGCGUCUUGGAGCUAAUGUAGGGUCUGCCCAAGGACCGACGGGUUUAGGUAAAUAUCUAAUGCGUUCCCCAACGGGAGAGGUUAUUUUUGGAGGGGAAACUAUGCGUUUUUGGGACCUUCGUGCUCCGUGGUUAGAACCUCUAAGGGGCCCCAACGGUUUGGACUUGAGUAGGUUGAAAAAAGACAUCCAACCUUGGCAAGAACGACGUUCGGC